rnacentral:lncRNA from 1 species
GGGGCCGGGCUGCUGGGUCCGAGCUCUGGGCACGAUGUCCUCCCUGACGCCGCCAGGACAGCGCCUGGCCCAGGCCUGGGCCUGGUGAACGCGGGUUUCUUCCUCUGAGGUUCAACACUCCGCACUUGGGUUGGCUCCUUUCAUCCUGAUUGGUUUAUUCGCCACGUGCCAAGCACUGAAGAGGGCGUGCAGGAUGGAUACUUUUGGAGCAAAAAUAGCCCUGCUUCUUUCCUGGGGAGGGAUCGCACUUUCUAGAGGGGCGGUUUUCAAAGUAUGGUCUCAGGACUAGCAGCAUCGAAAAUGCUGGGAACUCGUUAGAAAAGCAAGUUUUCAAUCCUCGCCCCAGAAUCAGAAACUCGGGGUGGAGCCCAGCAAUGUGUGUCCUGACAAGUCCACGCGCGACCCCAGUGCUGGCUAGGGUUGCAAAGCCACUGCUCUACGGAGCGAGCGAGAUCCAUCAUAGUGGGACAAGCGAGAGGAUGAGGCCAUACAGACCAGGGCAAGUUUUGAGCGCGCAGAUCCACCAGCUGCUUGAAGCCAGGGGCACCAGGAUGUCUGGUCCCCCAGCUCAGGGAUCCUGUCUCCCCACAAAAAGCAGCAGCAGAAGACCCCUCUUUGAGUUCUGAACAUGUUCCUAGAUUUUCCCAGUAUCUAUGGGGAUUGAGAGAUUGAUAAAGGCUGCUUGGAGCUGAAAGCACAUUGUCCCUUUACCCUUAGGAGAGAGGCUCCUUACACUGACAUUCAAAGUCCUCAAUGACCCGGCCCCAGCCUACCUCUGCAGCCUUAUCUCCCUACAAACCAUCAAAGCAGAACAAAAACCUGUCCCUCCGAUUUAGGUUUUAGCAAACCACAAGAAGCACUUCAUAAACUGGUGACUCAAGUAGAAAAGUACUGUUCCACGCACUUGACACCAAUCCACCCAUUUCACCUGCAUGAUCACCCUGCCUUUGCAUGAGUUGCCGGUGUGGACAGAGCAGGGACACAGUGAGACAGCGGAUUCCAGCUUUGCUCUUACCUAGAACACACUGCCUCUCACCAGGAAUCGUCCUUCCAUUUUAUGCAGUUAUCCCAGACAAUGAUGCACAAGCUUUGGGAAAAAAACCCCACAAGUCCAAAGGUGUACUUCAUAAUAAAGGCAAGUUAUCUGUC